ACGGUUCAGGUUGAUCUGCUAUCCUGUGACCUUUCUUGAAAGAAAGCGCCUGUCUAUAAAAAAGAACAGGAAAGAGGAUGAAGGUACGGAGGUGGGGAAAGCCUCCUGUCGAGCAACAAUUGCAUAUGGCAGAUUACGUUAUCUAUCUUGAUAAUAGUUGUGAAAUUACUACUGCUACUAUUCUGUGGUUGAUAUGUUGUGCUUUCUCAGUAAAAAUCUUCGACAUAAAAGAAGAGUAAAGCAACUGAAACACAGGCUCGCA